rnacentral:rRNA from 1 species
UACAGAGGGGGCAAGCGUUAUUCGGAAUUAUUGGGCGUAAAGGGCGCGUAGGCGGCCUGGCAAGUGGAUGGUGAAAUCCCUCGGCUUAACCGAGGAACUGCCAUCCAGACUGCUUGGCUUGAGACCGGGAGAGGUGAGUGGAAUUCCCAGUGUAGCGGUGAAAUGCGUAGAUAUUGGGAGGAACACCAGUGGCGAAGGCGGCUCACUGGACCGGUACUGACGCUGAUGCGCGAAAGCGUGGGGAGCAAACGGG